rnacentral:rRNA from 1 species
GUAGGUGGCAAGCGUUGUCCGGAAUUAUUGGGCGUAAAGCGCGCGCAGGCGGUUCUUUAAGUCUGAUGUGAAAGCCCACGGCUCAACCGUGGAGGGUCAUUGGAAACUGGAGAACUUGAGUACAGGAGAGGAAAGCGGAAUUCCACGUGUAGCGGUGAAAUGCGUAGAGAUGUGGAGGAACACCAGUGGCGAAGGCGGCUUUCUGGUCUGUAACUGACGCUGAGGCGCGAAAGCGUGGGGAGCAAACAGGGAUUAGAUACCCUGGUAGUCCACGCCGUAAACGAUGAGUGCUAAGUGUUAGGGGGUUUCCGCCCCCUUAGUGCUGCAGCUAACGCAUUAAGCACUCCGCCUGGGGAGUACGGCCGCAAGGCUG